rnacentral:rRNA from 1 species
CACGUAGGGUGCGAGCGUUGUCCGGAAUUAUUGGGCGUAAAGAGCUCGUAGGCGGUGUGUCGCGUCGGCCGUGAAAACCUGCAGCUUAACUGUGGGCGUGCGGGCGAUACGGGCAGACUGGAGUACUGCAGGGGAGACUGGAAUUCCUGGUGUAGCGGUGGAAUGCGCAGAUAUCAGGAGGAACACCGGUGGCGAAGGCGGGUCUCUGGGCAGUAACUGACGCUGGAGGAGCGAAAGCGUGGGGAGCGAACAGG